GCUGACUCCUAGUCAAGGGCUC
rnacentral:miRNA from 1 species